UGGGGAAUAUUGGGCAAUGGGCGCAAGCCUGACCCAGCAACGCCGCGUGAGGGAAGAAGGUCUUCGGAUUGUAAACCUCUGUCCUUGGGGACGAAAAAAAUGACGGUACCCAAGGAGGAAGCUCCGGCUAACUACGUGCCAGCAGCCGCGGUAAUACGUAGGGAGCAAGCGUUGUCCGGAAUUAUUGGGCGUAAAGGGUGCGUAGGCGGCGCUGCAAGUCAGAUGUGAAAUCCCCGGGCUUAACUCGGGGGGUGCAUUUGAAACUGCAGUGCUUGAGUGCAGGAGAGGAAAGCGGAAUUCCUAGUGUAGCGGUGAAAUGCGUAGAUAUUAGGAAGAACACCAGUGGCGAAGGCGGCUUUCUGGACUGUAACUGACGCUGAGGCACGAAAGCGUGGGGAGCAAACA
rnacentral:rRNA from 1 species